AGAUUGAGUUUGAUCCUGGCUCAGGACGAACGCUGGCGGCGUGCUUAACACAUGCAAGUCGAACGGUGACGAGGAGCUUGCUCCUCCGAUCAGUGGCGAACGGGUGAGUAACACGUGAGUAACCUGCCCCAGACUCUGGGAUAACAGUUGGAAACAGCUGCUAAUACCGGAUACGAGACGGAGAGGCAUCUCUACCGUCUGGAAAGUUUUUCGGUCUGGGAUGGACUCGCGGCCUAUCAGCUUGUUGGUGAGGUAAUGGCUCACCAAGGCGACGACGGGUAGCCGGCCUGAGAGGGCGACCGGCCACACUGGGACUGAGACACGGCCCAGACUCCUACGGGAGGCAGCAGUGGGGAAUAUUGCACAAUGGGCGAAAGCCUGAUGCAGCGACGCCGCGUGAGGGAUGACGGCCUUCGGGUUGUAAACCUCUUUCAGCAGGGAAGAAGCGAAAGUGACGGUACCUGCAGAAGAAGCACCGGCUAACUCCGUGCCAGCAGCCGCGGUAAAAU
rnacentral:rRNA from 1 species